UCUAAUGUGGCAGAUUAGUGCAAUAGAUUUAAACUCUAUAUAUAAAGAAAUUCUUUCAUUAGAA
rnacentral:tRNA from 1 species